rnacentral:lncRNA from 1 species
CCCCAUCCUGCUGACAUCACAAUGCUUCUUUCUCUUGCUUUGCUUCUUUGCUUAUGUUGUUCUCACUGCCUGAAAUGUUCCCUUCCACUCCAUCACCAAUACCACAAUUCCCCCAUCACUAGCAUCCCUUUCUCUCUACUGUUACUCACACUUUAGCCCAAGACUCACCAGCUCCACGAGUCUUUCCAAGUUCCAUUACUCCCAGCCAGUCAUUAAACUUCACAUUCAGUAAGAGCUCACGUGUGUCAAGCCUCCUGCCAACACCUUUAUUGGAAAGUUUCUUGAGCUGACAGUUCAUUUGAAAUUUAUCCCUGAGAAGUUUGCACUGUGGAUUCUGCCUUUAUAAGAUGCUGACUUAUUUCCUUCACUCCUUCAACUGCACGUGGGCAGACUAGGAAGGAACUAGCAGGAUUUCCUGAAUGAUAGACAUUCUCCUCCUUAUUUCCAGUCAUACAUCAGCAAUCCUACCUCUCUCCUUGAUGAUUGAGGAUGACAUUCUGCGGUUGAAAAAAAUGAAGUUAUUUCCAGAAAGAAAAAGAAAAACUCCUUCACCCUGGAGCAGCCAUUUGGAAAUUAUUUAAUCACACUAAGAGGAACCUUGAACACAUUAGGUUAUUUUCAAAUGAUCUUUCCAGAG